rnacentral:rRNA from 1 species
AGCGAACGCUGGCGGCAGGCCUAACACAUGCAAGUCGAACGAAGUCUUCGGACUUAGUGGCGGACGGGUGAGUAACACGUGGGAACGUGCCUUUAGGUUCGGAAUAACACAGGGAAACUUGUGCUAAUACCGAAUGUGCCCUUCGGGGGAAAGAUUUAUCGCCUUUAGAGCGGCCCGCGUCUGAUUAGCUAGUUGGUGAGGUAAAGGCUCACCAAGGCGACGAUCAGUAGCUGGUCUGAGAGGAUGAUCAGCCACAUUGGGACUGAGAUACGGCCCAAACUCCUACGGGAGGCAGCAGUGGGGAAUCUUGCGCAAUGGGCGAAAGCCUGACGCAGCCAUGCCGCGUGAAUGAUGAAGGUCUUAGGAUUGUAAAAUUCUUUCACCGGGGACGAUAAUGACGGUACCCGGAGAAGAAGCCCCGGCUAACUUCGUGCCAGCCGCCGCGGUAAUAC